GAUGAACGCUGGCGGCGUGCCUAAUACAUGCAAGUCGAGCGAACAGACGAGGAGCUUGCUCCUCUUACGUUAGCGGCGGACGGGUGAUUAACACGUGGAUAACCUACCUAUAAGACUGGGAUAACGUCGGGAAACCGGAUCUAAUACCGGAUAAUAUAUUGAACCGCAUGGUUCAAUAGUGAAAGACGGUUUUGCUGUCACUUAUAGAUGGAUCCUCGCCGCAUUAGCUAGUUGGUAAGGUAACGGCUUACCAAGGCAACGAUGCGUAGCCGACCUGAGAGGGUGAUCGGCCACACUGGAACUGAGACACGGUCCAGACUCCUACGGGAGGCAGCAGUAGGGAAUCUUCCGCAAUGGGCGAAAGCCUGACGGAGCCACGCCGCGUGAGUGAUGAAGGUCUUCGGAUCGUAAAACUCUGUUAUUAGGGAAGAACAAAUGUGUAAGUAAAUAUGCACGUCUUGACGGUACCUACUCAGAAAGCAACGGCUAACUACGUG
rnacentral:rRNA from 1 species